rnacentral:ncRNA from 1 species
AUUCCAGCUGAUCCUGCUGGCGGAUACUGCUAUCGAAAUUCGACUUAGCCAUGCAAGUUUUAGAGAUCGAGUGUCGGUCUCUGGCGUACGGCUCAGUAACACGUAGUCAACCUGCCCUUUGGAUCCCUUAAACCCGGGAAACUGGGACUAAUGGGGGAUAGUUCAUGGCAUCUGGAAUGAGUUAUGAAUGAAAGCGCGAGCGGAUUGCAGCUCGUUGCGCCAAAGGAUGGGACUGCGGCAGAUUAGGUAGUUGGCGGGGUAAAGGCCCACCAAGCCUACGAUCUGUACGGGCAUUGAGAGAUGGAGCCCGGAGAAGGGCACUGAGAUAAGGGCCCUAGCCCUACGGGGUGCAGCAGUCGCGGAACCUUUACAAUGCGCGAAAGCGUGAUAGGGGAAUUUCGAGUGCUAACACUGUUAGCUUUUGCCAAGUCUAAAUCGCUUGGCGAAUAAGAGGGGGGUAAGAUACGUGCCAGCCGCCGCGGUAAUACGUACUCCUCAAGUGGUAUCCACUAAUAUUGGGCCUAAAGCGUCUGUAGCCGGUUGGGUAAGUCUUUGGUGAAAUCCAUGCGCUUAACGUAUGGACUGGCCAAAGAUACUGCUCGGCUUGGGAUCGGAAGAGGUCAAUGGAAUUUUGGGGGUAGCGGUGAAAUGUUAUGAUCCUCAAAGGACCACCAGUAGCGAAGGCGAUUGACCAGAACGAAUCUGACGGUGAGAGACGAAAGCUGGGGGAGCGACCCGGAUUAGAUACCCGGUUAGUCCCAGCCGUAAACGAUGCAGACUAGGUGUCCUGCCACCCACGUGGUGUCGGGGUGCCGAAGCGAAGGCAUUAAGUCUGCCGCCUGGGAAGUACGCUCGCAAGAGUGAAACUUAAUGGAAUUGGC